AGAGUUUGAUCAUGGCUCAGAAUCAACGCUGGCGGCGCGCUUAACACAUGCAAGUCGCACGAGAAAGGGAGCAAUCCUGAGUAUAGUGGCGCACGGGUGAGUAACACGUGGAUAAUCUACCUCCUUGUGGGGAAUAACCCUGGGAAACCGGGGCUAAUACCGCAUACGUUCGAGAGAAGAAAGCCGAAAGGCGCAGGGAGAGGAGUCCGCGGUCGAUUAGCUAGUUGGCAGGGUAAUGGCCUACCAAGGCGACGAUCGAUAGCCGGCCUGAGAGGGCACACGGCCACACUGGCACUGAAACACGGGCCAGACUCCUACGGGAGGCAGCAGUGGGGAAUCUUGCACAAUGGGGGAAACCCUGAUGCAGCGACGCCGCGUGAACGAUGAAGCCCUUCGGGGUGUAAAGUUCUUUCGACGGGGACGAUAAUGACGGUACCCGGAGAAGAAGCUGCGGCUAACUACGUGCCAGCAGCCGCGGUA
rnacentral:rRNA from 1 species